rnacentral:rRNA from 1 species
CCUACGGGUGGCAGCAGUGAGGAAUAUUGGUCAAUGGACGAGAGUCUGAUCCAGCCAAGUCGCGUGAAGGAUGAAUGCCCUAUGGGUUGUAAACUUCUUUUAUAUGGGAAUAAAAUGUUCCACGUGUGGGUUUUUGUAUGUACCAUAUGAAUAAGGAUCGGCUCACUCCGUGCCAGCCGCCGCGGUAAUACGGAGGAUCCGAGCGUUAGCCGGAUUUAUUGGGUUUAAAGGGAGCGUAGGUGGUUUGUUAAGUCAGUUGUGAAAGUUUGUGGCUCAACCGGAAAAUUGCAUUUGAAACUGGCAGUCUUGAGUACAGUAGAGGGGGGCGGAAUUCGUGGUGUAGCGGUGAAAUGCGUAGAUAUGACGAAGAACUCCGAUUGCGAAGGCAGUUCACUGGACUGCAACUGACACUGAGGCUCGAAAGUGUGGGUAUCAAACAGGAUUAGAUACCCGUGUAGUC